CAGAAACGGACACGACGCACAGUUAGGAUUUGCGUCGCAUGUUACGAGUUAUGCGACGCAAAUCACAAAAAUAUGCGUCGUACUGUAUAAAUGUGCGUUGCAAAAAGGCUAAUGUGCGUCGGAUCCCUUGGCCCAUCCGACGCACAUGAGCCCAAAAGAGAACUCUAUGUAUCUCGGCUCUCUCCCUCUGCUUUUAAUUUUCUCAAACCCUAAUAUGCACAUCAACCGCCUCUCUCUCUUCCCCUCUCCCUCUAUCCCUCUCCCUCUCUCUCUUCCCCUCUCCCUCUCUCUCAAUUCCAGAACUUGUUCCUCAAAACUCAAUCGGUCGUUUGCAACAACUUGUUUACAUCAGCCUCAAAACUCAAUUCCAGAACUUGUUCCUCAAAAUUGCAACAACUUCUUCCUCCUCGAAAUCGGUCGUUUCAUCGAUCAAAUCCCUCGAAACCUACACUUCUUCCUCUCCUGAAAUCCGCAAACGUUUCAUUCGUUUACAUCUUCUUCAUCGUUUCAUUCGUUUACAUCUUCUUCAUCGUUUCAUUCGUUUCAUUCGUUUACAGAUCUGUCAAAUGCAAUCGAACUCAAACGCAAUCGAAGAUCUGAAAUUUUCAGUAAGAGGAUGGUAUCUUCUCGAAAUCUUGUUGUUGCGUUUGUGAUGAAGAUCUUGAUUGUUAUGAAAUUACAAGAAACUCUCGAAGAUCUGGAUUGUGUUUGAGUUUUUUUAUUUUUAAUUUAUCUCCCGUUAUAUAAAAACGCGGUUAUAGAUAAUUUUUUAGUUUGUAAUUUUAUCUUCUGGUUAGGGUUAGAAUUUCUUAUUUUUUUGUAUGUUUUAGUUAUAGAUCUGAUGUUAGUGAUAAUGGUGAUAUUUUUUUCUUCUUGAAAUUAUGUAAAACCGCACACUGUUGAUGUUAGUCCAUUGUCUUUGUAGUUUGUAAUUUUAUCU